rnacentral:tRNA from 1 species
GCCCGAGUGGCGGAAUUGGCAGACGCGCUAGCUUCAGGUGCUAGUGGUAGCAAUACUGUGCAGGUUCAACCCCUGUCUCGGGCACCA